GGCUCAUGGUAGCUUAGUGUUUAGUGUUUUCGCCUUACACCUCCAGGGUCCCGGGUUCAAUUCCCGCUGGGGCA